rnacentral:ncRNA from 1 species
GCGCGUCUGGAUCAAGAUGGGGCGUUCGUUCGCCUAUUGGGCCGCAGUGCGUAAAACCACCCACAAGGGGAUCUUCUCAGGGUGGUCGGUAUAGCCGGGAGGUACGAACCUGGAAACAGGUCGAGAAGGCAAUGGCAGGGCGGCGUAUUACCCAGACACAGGCGCCGUCGACUGUCCCAAAACCUACCCCCGCCGUGCGCCGAGAAGGGCCGAGGGCGCUUGUAACGCAUAACCUCGAAAGCGCGGAACGCCA